rnacentral:lncRNA from 1 species
UUUAGUUACGUCAAAAAAAAAAGAAAAAAAAGUGAGAAAAAAGAAUAUGAAAAAUCUUAUUUUACUAUUUUUUUUGUAAUAGUGAUUUAUUUAGUUGAUAAUGAAUUAUGUGAAUAUAUUAAUUAGAAAGUAGGCGGAUGGGAAGACGAAGCAUCAGGUGGAAAUGAAAAGUGGGAAAAUGAAAUAUUAGAGAGUGGGAAGGAGGGUGAAGUAGGAAUUACCACGUGGCAAACUCUAUUAAAAAUAAUGUAUGAAAAGACGACGCAUUAGGGAGUGGGAAGGAGGGUGAAGGAGGAAUUGUUACGUGGCAAACUCUAUGAUAAAUAAUGUGUAUAAUAAUAAUAAUAAUAAUAAUAAUAAUAUUUAGGUAUAGAUAGAUAUAGUUAUUCUCUCUCUCUCUCUCAAAAAUACAUUUUUUUUUCCAUUUUUGGAAAGGAAGAGAUAAAUGAAGGACAUGGCCAUGUGAGUAGCUGAUUAAACGAAUGUUUCUCUUAACUGCUAUAAAAUGAAAGGGGAAGUGUGUGACUGCGCGCUUAAUGCCACAACAGCUAGAGAAAGGUAAUAAGUUAUCAAGAAAUGCUUCAAUACACUAGCUAAAUUAAAUCUAGUCGUUCAUAUUUUAAGGGCGAGAUUGACUUUUGCAUAGUAGUUGAGUAAUAUAGGAAAACAAAUACAAACUAAUUACCAAAUUUAUUUGUUUCCUUAUUUAAUUUUGUUACUUACCAAAUUAGAUAGUGCUAAUUUGAUAAGUCAUAAACCUUUAUAAAAUUGAAUUUAAAAUUCAAUUUGAGCUUAAACUUUAUAAUUGUGUAUAUUAAAUUCAAAUUUAAUUUUAAUUUUAAUUUUACUUUUCAGAACGAAAAAAAUUAUGUUUAAAUGAAUAGUAUAUUUCAAUUCAAAUUGUUAAUUUGAUAUUAAAAUGACACGAAAUUUCAAAUAUAUUAACUUAUUUUAAAAUGUAAAUUAUGCUGUAUUUAUAAACAUAACUUUUGUUAUUUAUUUAAAUUAAAGGCUUCUAUUUUUAAAAUUAAAUUCAAAUUGUUUAUUAGAUAGUAAAAACAGCAUUAAAGUUCAAAAAUAUUGAUUAAAAUUAAAUUUUAAAUUUAGAUUUAGUUUAUAUUAUAGUUAAAAAAUAAAUUUUGUUAACUAUUUAAACUAAACGAUUCUAUGUUUGAAAAUUAACUUUAAAUUAUAAAUCUGAAUUUAAUUUUAGCUAUUAUAAUUUCNUAGCGAUUUAUUUAGUUGAUAAUGAAUUAUGUGAAUAUAUUAAUUAGAAAGUAGGCAGAUGGGAAGAUGAAGUAUCGUGUGGAAAUGAAAAGUGAAAAAAUGAAGUAUUAGAGAGUGGGAAGGAGGGUGAAGUAGGAAUUACCACGUGGCAAACUCUAUUAAAGAUAAUGUAUGGAAAGACGACGCAUUAGGGAGUGGGCAGAAGGGUGAAGGAGGAAUUAUUACGUGGCAAACUCUAUGAUAAAUAAUGUGUAUAAUAAUAAUAAUAAUAAUAAUAAUAUUUAGGUAUAGAUAGAUAU